rnacentral:rRNA from 1 species
UCGAGCGAGACCUUCGGGUCUAGCGGCGGACGGGUUAGUAACGCGUGGGAACGUGCCCUUUACUACGGAAUAGUCCCGGGAAACUGGGUUUAAUACCGUAUACGCCCUUCGGGGGAAAGAUUUAUCGGUAAAGGAUCGGCCCGCGUUAGGUUAGAUAGUUGGUGGGGUAAUGGCCUACCAAGUCUACGAUCUAUAGCUGGUUUGAGAGGAUGAUCAGCAACACUGGGACUGAGACACGGCCCAGACUCCUACGGGAGGCAGCAGUGGGGAAUCUUAGACAAUGGGCGCAAGCCUGAUCUAGCCAUGCCGCGUGAGUGACGAAGGCCUUAGGGUCGUAAAGCUCUUUCCCAGGGAUGAUAAUGACAGUACCUAGCAAGAAACCCCGGCUACUCCGUGCCAGCAGCCGCGGUAAUACGGAGGGGGUUAGCGU